rnacentral:rRNA from 1 species
UACGUAGGGACCAAGCGUUGUUCGGAUUUACUGGGCGUAAAGGGCGCGUAGGCGGCAAUUCAAGUCAUCUGUGAAAUCUCCGGGCUUAACUCGGAACGGUCAGAUGAUACUGCUUUGCUAGAGUGCGGAAGGGGCAAUCGGAAUUCUCGGUGUAGCGGUGAAAUGCGUAGAUAUCGAGAGGAACACCAGAGGUGAAGACGGGUUGCUGGGCCGACACUGACGCUGAAGCGCGAAAGCCAGGGGAGCAAACGGG